rnacentral:rRNA from 1 species
UACAGAGGUCCCAAGCGUUGUUCGGAUUCACUGGGCGUAAAGGGUGCGUAGGUGGUGGGGCAAGUCGGAUGUGAAAUCUCGGAGCUUAACUCCGAAACUGCAUUGGAAACUGCCUUGCUAGAGGUUUGGAGGGGGGACUGGAAUGCUUGGUGUAGCAGUGAAAUGCGUAGAUAUCAAGCGGAACACCAGUGGCGAAGGCGAGUCCCUGGACAACACCUGACACUGAGGCACGAAAGCUAGGGGAGCAAACAGGAUUAGAUACCCUGGUAGUCCUAGCCGUAAACGGUGCACGUUUGCUGUAAAAGGAAUCGACCCCUUUUGUGGCGAAGCUAACGCGUUAAACGUGCCGCCUGGGAAGUACGGUCGCAAGAUUA